rnacentral:tRNA from 1 species
GGAGGCGUACCCAAGAGGCCGAAGGGGGCAGGUUGCUAACCUGUUAGGUCGGGAUUUCCCGGCGCUCGAGUUCAAAUCUCGACGCCUCCGCCA